rnacentral:lncRNA from 1 species
AUGACUUGGAAUCCAUCUUUGUCUUGUAUAACUAGGUCAUAGCACACCAUUAAUGUCAGCAGUUAACAAUUUUGAAUUCCAAAAAACCUAAGUAAACGACAUAUUUAAUUUUUUUUCCUCUUUUUUUCUUGGGUGGGUGGGUGGGAGCUUGGAGCUGUCUUAAUCUGUAUUCUCUUGACUGAACAAUAAAUUUUUAAAUAUAUGUAGUUUCCUCUAUUAAACACUUAAACCUGGCCAUCUUAUUAACUCCUUCUGCUCUCUUUUUAACAAGGUAAUGUUUUAAAUGUAUAGCUGUAGGAUUAGCGAAAUGGCAGCAACAAAAAAUUGUAAGCAGUUGUUAUUCUUUUAAGUUUUUAAAAACCUUUUACGUUGUAAGUACCCAAUCCAUUCUGUCCUUAUGCAGUGCAGUUUCUAUGUUAAUGUUGCUGAGAUGUCCUUAAUUUUCUGAACCUUCAUCUGCAUGUAUGUCUUUGUCGCUCUUGUCUAAUAUAAGCCAGUUAAAAAUGCUUCUAGACGAUUUUGCUUUCUAUAAAGCUAAGGUUUUAGCUUUAAGCUUUUGAAAAUGUUUACAGCAAUAAAUGCUAGUCAGUUUUCUUCCCAGUAACAUGUACACUUUCUUUGAAAAUCGAUCUAUUUGAAGAAAAACAGCUCUGUUUUUCUCGUCUUGGUAGGGGGGUGGGUGAGGGAAAGGAAGACCUUCUCUUUGUGUACAGAGACUAAAGCCGUCACAGGAAACUAGAUUAAAACUGGAAAACAAGUCCUAGCUGGUUCGAGCCAAACACCAACGUUAACUCGCGGGUAUUUUCUAUGGUGGUUGGGAUGGCCGUGCUUCUUUUGCCUUUUGUUUGAUUUGACUGUGUAUUUUCGCCUUUUGUCUCUUAAUGACGAUCACACCAUUGCUAUAUCCAGAGCAGUAAACAGUCCUCAGCGAAGCCGCCUUUUGCCAACCCAACCCUGGAAAGUUUGCAGAAGUGGAAGGAGCAGAAAAUGCCAUGAGAGUAUAACUUACAAAAAGGCUCUUGGCUGGAGAAAAGGCAGCUGCCUGGCACCCCCAGAGUGAACUAUCCUCCUUUGGACAGCACCAGCAGGCCUAAUGUCACUCUGACAAGAAGGUCCAUCCAUCCCCGCCUGUCAGCUUCUGUUGUCAAGAGUUUGGGGUGUGCAAUUCUCUGCAGUCUUGAGCGCAUAGGAGGCUGCACUUGCAAGUAUUUACCAGUUGUGUGUUUUGUGGUGGGAGAGGGCCCUGGGUGCCUCUUCUGAAAGGUAGUGUCUGCUGCCAGGAAACCCGGCCCUGCUCUGGCCCUCCCUUCCUGCCCAGAGUGGGGGCGUGUGGGGUGACUGUGUGAGCUGGCCUCUUCCCCUCUGAUGUCUAGCUGCUAGGGAGGUGGAGAACACAAGUACCUGAGUUUUGGGCCAGCUUCCUCUGAGAAAGAGCUUUCUUGACUCUUCUCCCCAUUCCUUGGAAUUCCCACGGAUUCUCUGCACCACCACCACCCUCAAAAAGAAUACUGUUUGUAAAAUCAGACCCGGGAUUUGAAACCUGGCUGGCCAUUUACGUGCUGUGACUUUGCAUGAGCUGCUUGGUCUCUGAGCCCGUUUCCCUAUAUUGCUCAAAUGGGGCUAGGUCAGUGAUUCCCAGCCCUGAGCCUGCUCGUUACAAACGUCUCCCAGUCCAACAGCUUUUGAUUCAGUAGGUGAGACCUGAGAACUUGCCUUUGUAACAAGCUCCCAGGUAAUCCUGAUGGCUGCAGUCUGAGGACACCUUUUGAGAACGUCUGGGCUGGGUAACACCCGGAGGUAUGGCGAGGAUGGCGUUAGUGCACUUGAAACCCCAUGCUCAGUGCUUGACAGAGGCGUUAGCUUGCCAAUAAUGGCAACUCUCUCCCCAUCCUCCUGAUACAAGCUGGCUGCUCAUACAUAGUUAACUACUGUCUCCAGGAAACUCCACAGCUGGAGGUGGCGUGGCCCUUGAUCUCUGAUCCCUUCCCCAUGUGAUCUCCAGUUAGGGAUUACUUUGAUGAACCAUUUGGGUCCAGGUGCCACUGAUCCCCACCACUCCCCCAUUUGGGCUGAGGUUUGGCUUCCUUGUGGGAUGAGCCCUGCCUACUUUUGCCCCACCCCUCAAUGUGAAGACUAAACCAAAGCUUGGGGGAGGGGCGGAGCUUGACCUGGAGAUUUUCUUGAGAGCCAUCCUGGUGGUUAAUCUAGGGAGGCUCUAAAUCCCAUCUCUGUUCUGGUGACCUUGGGCGAGUCUCCAGUGUGAAACGAUAAUAAAGAUGCAGUCUGGAAACGGGAGUGGUAGGCG